AGAAGGAGGGAGAGACACUGCAGCCACCGCCAGGACAAACAACAUAUAAAGAUGCUGCCCAUUAUGAUCCUGUUUCCUGACUUCAACACCAGCGGUUCCAUCACAAGCCUUCCAUCAGCUCCUUCACCAGGCUCUAAUGUGACCAUCAUUUCUCCAUCAGGCUGAGAGAUGCUUCAGAAGAGACAGUGUUGCUCCCAGAUGAAUUGUCCAGUCAACUUGAUGUCCACAUCUACCUGGCCAACCUUGGUUACAACAUCUUUGAUGUGGUAGAGAAGAUACUCAGACAUUAAGGAGUCCUCAUUCAGAUAUACUAGAUGGGGAUUCUCUCUUUUUUUGGAGAGAAGACACCAACAGUACCACCAUCCUCUCAGACAGCCACACCCAUCUCAGCCAGCAAUGUUUAUUUUUCUGACUCCUGCAUCCUCUCCAUGGCCUCCUCAUGCCCAAUAUGGGGCUCAGCACUUGGGGAAAAGGAAGACUCUAGCUCCCCAUUGUGUGGAGGAGGAGAUGAAGGUGAGGCUGCGUGGUAGGCGAUGAAGCAGUCAACAGAGCAUCUCAAGUACUGCCCUCUUUUACCUUUAGAUCUCCUAAAGUAGAUGCUGAGAUUCUCUGAGCCAUCAGCAGCUCCUGCACCCACCCCAUUCUGCAGCUCUUGGGUAAGCCAGGCAUUAGGGCAUCUUGCCCUGUGUUCAGUGUAUCCAUAAUCCAAACAGACAUGUUGUGGUGCCUCAUACGUAAUCUUCUCUGGAGACCUUGGGUCACUGCUAGGAUCUGAAAGCCUGUCUGAUAUAAUAAGCUUUUAGAUCAACAUUUAAAUACCAUACUCUGCAGAUUUCUGAAGUAUGAGGGUAGUCCAGGUAUAUCUGAAUAAACAAGCUUUGUUUCUA